rnacentral:rRNA from 1 species
GUGGGGAAUAUUGGACAAUGGGCGAAAGCCUGAUCCAGCCAUGCCGUGUGUGUGAAGAAGGUCUUCGGAUUGUAAAGCACUUUAAGUUGGGAGGAAGGGCAGUAAGUUAAUACCUUGCUGUUUUGACGUUACCGACAGAAUAAGCACCGGCUAACUUCGUGCCAGCAGCCGCGGUAAUACGAAGGGUGCAAGCGUUAAUCGGAUUUACUGGGCGUAAAGCGCGCGUAGGUGGUUUUGUACGUUGGAGGUGAAAUCCCCGGGCUCAACCUGGAAAAUGGCUACAAAGCUGCAUGACUAGAGUGCGGUAGAGUGUAGUGUAAAUUCGUGUGUAACGGUGAAAUGCGUAGAUAUAGUGAGGAACACCAGUGGCGAAGGCGACUACCUGAACUGAUACUGACACUGAGGUGCGAAAGCGUGGGGAGCAAACAGGAUUAGAUACCCUAGUAGUCC